AUACGUAGGUGGCAAGCGUUAUCCGGAAUUAUUGGGCGUAAAGAGUGAGCAGGCGGCAGUUUAAGUUUGGGGUCAAAUUAAGGGGCUCAACCCCUUCUCGCCCUGAAAACUGAACAGCUAGAGUACAGGAGAAGUAAGCGGAAUUCCAUGUGUAGCGGUGAAAUGCGUAGAUAUAUGGAGGAACACCAGUGGCGAAUGCGGCUUACUAGCCUGAAACUGACGCUCAGUCACGAAAGCGUGGGUAGCAAAUAGGAUUAGAUACCCUAGUAGUCCACGCUGUAAACGAUGAGAACUUAAUAUUGCCGCGAGGCAGUGUUGAAGCUAACGCAUUAAGUUCUCCGCCUGGGGAGUACGGUCGCAAGACUGAAACUCAAAUGAAUUGACGGGG
rnacentral:rRNA from 1 species